rnacentral:lncRNA from 1 species
GAAAUCUUGUUAGGACAAGGGGAAGAUGUCUGUAAGGUUAUGGUUAAUACAUACUUCCUGUUCUCCUCGUCAAGACUAUCCGCAGAGUUACCAACAAGGAUUUUAUCUUCUUUUUACUUCUUUAUUUUUCUUGAAUGUUUCUUUGAACAUUCAAGAGCAUGCCCGAAGCUCCUGAUGCCUUGUAUAGUCUGAUUAUCAGCUGACUGGCUGCCAGCAGCUGGGUGGGGGCAGCAUGCCUAGGGGUCUUUGGCUGCUGUUUGGCCCUUUGCACGGCUUAUUCAGCUUUAAGACAUUUCUAUGCUCAGCACUUUUAUUUGCUGAGGAUGCCAUGCUUGUGCACACACCUGUGUGUGAGUGUUGUACGUUACCUAUCAGCACCUGGGAGGAAACAGUGGGGCAUGCCUAAGGGGGAAUUAACCAUCCCUAGAAUGCCCUUUUUCUUGGUUUUAUAACACAGACUCUAUCUGCCAUUAUUAUGCACUAUAAUUUUUAAAAGUACCUUUAAAAAAUAGUGUAAGUUUACCAUAUCAGGGUUUUACAGAAACAGACUGAGUUCAUAAUUUAAUUCUUUUACAGAAACAAGGUUAAGGAUUUCCUUCAUCUCUUUCUUGACUGCUGUACCAGCCUUUUGCACCCUAGCCCGGGUGGCCUCACAUUCAUUUCCAUAACAAUGGUUGUUGUAUCUCAAACUCCAGGAAUUAUGCCUUGAGAUGGAAGCGAAUAGCAGGAGCCAAUGAAUGCUUAAAUGAGAAAUCUGUUUGUAAUGUCAUAGACUCCUCAGAGGAGGGCAUGAGAGAUGGAAAGCAAGAGUGGGAACAUAGGAAUCCUGCUGGUAGAGUUAGUCUCUCCUUCCUUCCCAAUUUUCUGUACUUAUUUCAUUGGGAGCUAUUUCAGACUGGCUUACAUGGCUGGCCUUCCCCCCCUAAUUCCUUUCUUUCUGAGCAUUCAUCAUUUCAGUAUGGUGGUAGUGUCUUAGGUCAAAAAUUGAUGCCUUCAUAGAACAAAAAUGCUUAUUUAUACCUUGCAUUUAUGACUUAGUUGAUGCCUAGUGUCUUAUCCCUUCUAGUCCAUGGUUGUGACUGGACAUUUUGAACUUAUAUUUGAGAGUUGCGUGUAUGGCUAGGCAAAGCUGUUAGCAUUCAGUUUUAACAAUUUUGAGUAACCAACUACUAUAGUGUCUAGUUGUGUUGAGCAUUAUUUGAGGCAAACUUUGUGUAUUUCUUUGUUAGUCUAUAUAUGUUUUAAAUUCGAUAUUAUAUUUUUAACUCAUUGGAAGAACUGUAUAGAUGCCAUGUGACUGUCUUGGUAUUGAGGACCCAUACAGAUAAUUUGAUUGCAUGCAUGGAGGCUAUUGGAUGUGAAAUAUAUAGAAUUGAAGAGAAAUGUGAUUUGCAGGGGAGUUUUCCAAGCUGGCCACUUUCUUCAAAGUGCUUGUAUGUUACCUAUUGACUGUUUAAAUAAAUGUGUGUGUGUGUUGUUGGGUAUAUAUGUAUGUAUGUGUGUGUGUGUGUAUAUAUAUAUAUAUAUAUAUAUCUAUAUAUAGAAUGUUAGUGUAUGUGUGGGUGGGCAUAUAUGUUGUUUUUUAUUUUAUUUUCAAGACAGGGUUUUUCUGUAUAACCACCCUGGCCAUCCUGGAACUCACUCUGUAGACCAGGCUGGCCUUGAACUCUGCCUGCAUCUGCUUUGUUUGUGCCACCACACCUGGCUAUAAAUAGCUUUUGUGGAUGAAGAAAGGACUCAAACUGUAAGGUAGCCUAUGACAAUUCUUGCCCAUGUUCCAGAAGAAUCUUGAACUAGUGACCUGGGAACAAAAGAGAUCUGGGUCAUUGUUGAAUUACUAUAUUCUGUGAAAUGGUGAUUGUCCCAUUUGUGGUUGUCAACCUUUCUUAACUGUUUCUUUGUGUUUUUUACUACUCUGCGUCAGUAAACAUCUUAGCCUUUUCUGUGUUCCUUACACAUUUGGUCAAAAGUGCUCCCUGGUCCCUGCCCUCAUGUCUUCCUCUUGGCCUGUUUCUUGAUUCCAUAGUACUGACCAAAAUGUAUAUGCUCAUACUAGAUCUCUGUACCUUUGCGUUGGUUGAGCCAAAAUUAUAUAAAAAAUUAUAUGCUUUGAGCUGUCACCCCAAACAUGCCCACAUCAGGUGGAUAUAUGCUGGGAGUCAUUUGUCUGAAUUCACAGCUAGAAGCUAGUUAACCCUCUGAUGUGGGGCCAAGAAUAAAUAUGUGUUAAGAACUGAGCUAAGGAUCUGCUGAGAGCAGAAAUAGAUGAAAAAUUGCUUGUUCUUGAAAGGAAUUUAUUGAGCAAUGAGCUUAAAAAGAAAAAAAAUCAAGCUCAGAAGGAAAGUAAGUAUUAGAAAUCACAAUCUUAACUUCAGAAUAGGCAGGAUGACAUGAAUUGGCCUUCUUUGCAUGAAAUUGCUGUAGAUGCUAGGAGGCAGAAGGAAUAUGUAAAGGUAGGUUGGAAUAUGGUAGGUGAGUAUGAGAAAUGGCAUUUGAACAGCCUUGAGGCUGGAUGAGUAAAAGGUACGAGAUGCGUGGGGUACCGAUAGUGAAAAGGGUUUCAUGACCCCUGGCUCCUAAUCCAUGAGUGGCCAUUCAAGUUAGGGAAGAGGUUUAAAAACAAAGAAACAGCAACAGUGGCCAAGCCAAAAGCCUGCCACAGCACCUAAGUGUUUGCCUAGGAAGGAGAUGUGCAGUGCGCCUUCCGUGGUGAUCAGAUAUACAACUGGGUUUUAAGGAGAUCAACGUAGGGGCUAGAGAGAUGUCUCAAGAGCGUGCUGUUCUUGCAGAGGACCUCAGUUCAGUUCCACGCACUUGUAUGUUGGACAGUUCACAAUGGCCUGUGAUUCUAGCUCCAGGAGAUCUACCCCAUUCUGUCCAGAAUUCAUGUGUACCCUCUCUUCCCUCCCACAUAU